UACAGAGGUCUCAAGCGUUGUUCGGAUUCAUUGGGCGUAAAGGGUGCGUAGGUGGCGCCGUAAGUCGGGUGUGAAAUUUCGGAGCUUAACUCCGAAACUGCAUUCGACACUGCGGUGCUUGAGGACUGGAGAGGAGACUGGAAUUUACGGUGUAGCAGUGAAAUGCGUAGAGAUCGUAAGGAAGACCAGUGGCGAAGGCGGGUCUCUGGACAGUUCCUGACACUGAGGCACGAAGGCCAGGGGAGCAAACGGG
rnacentral:rRNA from 1 species